rnacentral:lncRNA from 1 species
UGCGGCGGGAAUAGGGGCUUCUACUCAGACCCAAGACUCUCGUAACCCGACAGCGCCUUGGAGCCUAAAUCUAAGCACGAUUCAGACAGGACGCUCGUCGCGUCUUGCCAGAGCCCCAACCACGGAUUGCGAACUCUGCCCGAGCUAGGGGCCGCCUGCUGCUCCCUGGACCUUGCUGACCCGGAUCUCGGAGGCCAGCAUAUGGGUGAGGGGGUACUCCCUGGGGCUUGAGCUGCCCCGCACAGGAUGCCCCGUGCCCCCCACUCCAUGCCCUUGCUGCUGCUGUUGCUGCUGUCACUCCCCCAAGCCCAGACUGCCUUUCCCCAGGACCCCAUCCCUCUGUUGACCUCUGACCUACAAGGUACCUCUCCGUCAUCCUGGUUCCGGGGCCUGGAGGACGAUGCUGUGGCUGCGGAACUUGGGCUGGACUUUCAGAGAUUCCUGACCUUGAACCGGACCUUGCUUGUGGCUGCCCGGGAUCACGUUUUCUCCUUCGAUCUUCAAGCCCAAGAAGAAGGGGAGGGGCUGGUGCCCAACAAGUUUCUGACAUGGCGGAGCCAAGACAUGGAGAAUUGUGCUGUCCGGGGAAAGCUGACGGACGAAUGCUACAACUACAUCCGUGUUCUUGUUCCCUGGGACUCGCAGACACUCCUUGCCUGUGGA